GAUGAAGAACGUAGCAAAAUGCGAUACUUGGUGUGAAUUGCAGAAUCCCGUGAACCAUCGAGUUUUUGAACGCAAGUUGCGCCCGAAGCCUUUUGGCCGAGGGCACGUCUGCCUGGGCGUCACGCAUCGCGUCGCCCCCCACAAUUCUCCGUAAAGGGAACGUGUGUUUUGGGGGCGGAUAUUGGUCUCCCGUGCUCAUGGCGUGGUUGGCCGAAAUAGGAGACCUUUCGAUGGACGCACGAACUAGUGGUGGUCGUAAAAACCCUCGUCUUUUGUUUCGUGCUGUUGCUCGCAAGGUAAACUCUUUAAAAACCCCAAUGUGUCGUCUCUUGACGACGCUUCGACCGCGACCCCAGGUCAGGCGGGACUACCCGCUGAGUUUAAGCAUAUCAAUAAGCGGAGGA
rnacentral:misc_RNA from 1 species